AUCCCUGUAGCGCAAUGGAUUGCGCGUUAAACUUCUAAUCAAAGGUCGUGGGUUCGAAUCCCAAGUGGGAUG